AUUGAACGCUGGCGGCAUGCUUUACACAUGCAAGUCGAACGGUAACAGGGUGCUUGCACCGCUGACGAGUGGCGAACGGGUGAGUAAUGCGUCGGAACGCACCGAGUAAUGGGGGAUAACGCAGCGAAAGCUGUGCUAAUACCGCAUACGCUCUGAGGAGGAAAGCGGGGGACCUUCGGGCCUCGCGUUAUUCGAGCGGCCGACGUCUGAUUAGCUAGUAGGUGAGGUAAGAGCUCACCUAGGCGACGAUCAGUAGCGGGUCUGAGAGGAUGAUCCGCCACACUGGGACGAAGACACGGCCCAGACUCCUACGGGAGGUAGCAGUGGGGAAUUUUGGACAAUGGGCGCAAGCCUGAUCCAGCCAUGCCGCGUGUCUGAAGAAGGCCUUCGGGUUGUAAAGGACUUUUGUUAGGGAGGAAAUCCUUAGCGCUAAUACCGUUGAGGGAUGACAGUACCUGAAGAAUAAGCACCGGCUAACUACGUGCCAGCCGCCGCAGUAA
rnacentral:rRNA from 1 species